CGGACACACCCACAGACCUCAGCCCCGCCUCCCAGCGCUAGGCCCCGCCCUGACACAGCCACAGAUUUGGCCUCGUCUCCCGUCGCCAGGCUGCAGCCAUGCCCCCAACGCCUUAGGUCUGCCUUCCGGUACCGCCCCAGGCCGCACCAGCAGCAUGGCCAGGAAGGCCACCGCCAUGAGCACGCUCUCCACCACAAUGAGGUUUCCACUCCGCGGGAGCGUCCGCAGAACCGUUUUGUUGAAGCCGCUGAGGAUGCCGUGGCUUGUGGACGGGGACGGAUGAAGUCUCGUCUCCGUGGAUGAGCAAGCUGGAAUGGGCUCAAGAAAGGAAGAUGGGCAGCCUGGGCAGCAUAGCAAGACCCCAUCUCUACAAAAAUAAAAAAUUAGCCGGGUGUGAUAGC